CGCACCCUCUGUUAGUUCUCACUCUCCGGCCCCGCUCCAGGCCUGUAAACCACGGGAUCACUGCAAAAUGAAGCUGGAAAUGAGAUGGUUGAAAAAGAUGUCUUCAAGUUGUGAACGACAUCGUGUACAAAGAUGGUGUCUUGGACCUUGAGAGCCAUGCAGGAAGCAAGGUUGAGACCAAAUGAGGUGUGCCAAACAUGGUUUGAGUUGACCGUCCAAUGACAUCAUGUCAUUGCAGCAGGUGGUCCGCAAUACUUGGCUCCAGUUUGAAGUUACUUGGAUAAUGGAACAUUAUUGAUGCCAGUCCAGAAGGCCAAGCUGUGGCUUGAGUUGACCGUUCAAUGACAUGUCAUUGCAGCAGGUGGUCCUCAGUACUUGGCUCCAGCUUGACAUUACUUCGAUCAGUUAAUGGAACAACACCAGCAGUCCAAAAGGCCAAGUGAAGAUAUGUAAAACUUUGCUGUUGGAGAAUCUUCACAGCCCUCUGAUGGUAGAGUCCAGUUGUGACUGUCGUGAGGACAAGAUGUGACACCUCUCCAGGUUAUGAUCAUUGACUUUGGAGGCUGGUUUGAAAAGACAAGAUCCACUGAGGAAAGCUGGAUCUGUCAGAGUGACCAUGGAUAGCUGGCUCUGUCAGAGUGACCAUGAAUGAAGCCGUGCAGCCCUCUAUGAUGACCGGAGAGCCAGCAGCAAACCUGUCAAUCUAAAGAAACUGUAUAUGUGGCAAUAAAUGAU